UCGACAGUUGCGAUCGCCAAACGUGCCGCUCGCCUGCUUCGUAGGCGGAGGGGCCUCAGACGGGCGACGCUUAUCUUAUUGCAGCGGGCGGGAUAGUCGAGGGAGCUGGUCAGACGGCUGCGGCGACAAUUUUUUCAUUGAUGUCUACUCGCCCUCCUGGCUACCAGAUUAAAGUGAAUUUAGUUUCAUCCAAAUGUGUAUGAUAUUGAGUGUUCUCCCCAAAUUGACCUAAAUAGAAUAACUGAUACAAGAUAAGUAAAGGAUGAUUUCGGAGCACCUGGCUACCAUGAAUAAUUUUGUGUCCAAGAUGAGACCAGCUACAUCCAAAAUUAAUGAAAAGAACUUGACUCUGUUUCAAAGUCAGAAGAACUAGAAGAACUACUUGAUGAUGGAGAAGAUGAAGAACUGGAAGUGCUUUCAUCACU